UCUGGAACCGCCCGUCCUACUUGCUGCCCCAUCGCGAGAGUCCUUCCUCUCCAGUUCGGUCCACCACCUGCCCCCAUGCUCGAUCCUCUGUGGAACCAGGAGCUGUCCCACACCUUAUAGAGGCAUACCUGGGAUGACGGACAAUGACUUGCCCGGGAUCACUUUGCCAAUUGGAAAGGAGGAAAAGUCCCACACCCGUGGCGCUGUCUCCGGAGGGUGCUGCGUCCAAGAGGCCCACCCGCAGGGAUGAGCCUGAGUGCGCGAAUCCAAGCACGAGAAGGGAGCUGGGAAUCUCCCGGUGGCUGGGGACCCCUGCUCCUUCUAGAGCCUCUGCCUCUAGGUCUUUAAUAAAGUAUAUACAAUCCUCUUCCCUCCUAGGUGCUCUGGUGUGUCUGCUUCUGGCCCCAUCUGUUUUCCCUUGCUCCAGGUGGCUACAGCUGGCAUAUGCCUUUAAAUCCUUUCGACAAACACUGCUGGGAAGGUGGUUCCAAUGCUGAAAGUUCUGAGGGCGAUGAAACAAAGGCAAGCCUCUGAGUCAGUCCCUCUGGUUGCUGCCAGACUGGUCGAAAAAUACAACCACAGCUUUUUGAGAACAAGGACCUUAUUGGCCUCUCUGGCACAAGCAAGCUGCCCAAGGAAUGUGGGCCACCAUCUCCAUAGCUGCUUUCUGAACUGGGGAUUGAGAGGUGGCGAUCACAGGGCACGCCCUAAGAAACCUGCACACUAACCUCCCUCUCAGACACUGCUUCUGGAGAGCCCAACCUGUGACCGCUGGGUCAGGAGGGGUCUGAGGAAGAAGAUGCUAAGAUGGGAUUCUGGCUCUGGAUCACCCACUGCCUAGCUGCUGAUAAGGAUCCUUUUGCUGGGGGUAGAUGGAGCGGGUACAUGCCCCCGCACAGAGCAGAGGAUGCCAAGAAAACACAGUGAGGAAAGGAUUAUCUCUUCAGUGUUGGGAAAACUGGAUAUCCACAUGCAGAAGAAUGAAACUGGAACUUUACCUCACAUUAUGUACAAAAAUCAACUAAAAAUAGAUUAAAGACAAAAACCUAAGACUGGAGACUACAAAACUAUUAGAAGAAGAAAACACAGGGGUAAGCUUCUUGACAUUGACCUGGGUAAUGAUUUUUUUGGACACGACACUAAAAGCACAAGCAAAAAGGCAAAAAUAGACAAGUGGACUGCAUCAAACUGAAAAGCUUCUGCACAGCAAAGGAAACAAAAGAGUGGAAAAGGCAACCUAUGGGAUGAGAGAAAGUAUUUGAAAACCAUGCAUCUGAUAAGGGGUAAAUAAAUAUCCAAAAUAUAUAAGGAACUCAUACAACUCAGCCAAAUAAACAAAAAAACCCAAAUAACACAAUUUUAAUUUUUUAAUUUAUUAUUUUUGAGAUGGAGUCUUGCUCUGUUGCCCAGGCUGGAGUACAGUGACAUGAUCUUGGCUCACCGGAACCUCCACCUCCCAGGUUCAAGCGAUUCUCCUGUAGUUGGUUCAAGCCUUCCGAGUAGUUGGGAUUACCAGUGCCUGGCUAAUUUUUUUAUUUUUUAAGUAGAGAUAAUUUCACCAUAUUGGCCAGGCUGGUCUUGAACUCCUGACCUCAGACUAUCCACCCGCCUUGGCCUCCCAAAGUGCUGGGAUUACAGGCGUGAGCCAUCGUGCCUGGCCACAAUUCAGUUUCUAAAUGGGCAAAAGACCUGAAUAGACAUUUCUCAGAAGAAGACAUACAGGCCAGGCAUGGUGGCUCAUGCCUAUAUCCCAGCACUGUUGAAGGCCAAGGCAGGCAGAUGGAUCCCUUGAGCUCAGGAGUUGGACCAGCCUGGCCAACAUGGUAAAACCCUGUCUCUACUGAAAAUACAAAAAUUAGCCAGUGUGGUGGGACAUACCUGUUUUCCCAGCUACAUGGGAGGCUGAGGCAGGAGAAUUGCUUGGGCCCCAAAGGUGGGGGUUGCAGUGACCUGAGAUCAUACCUCUGUACUCCAGCCUGGGUGACAGAGUGAGACUCCAUCUCAAAAAAAAAAAAAAAAAAGAAGACAUACAUACAGUAGCCAGUAGGUAUAUGAAAGGGCACUCAACACCACCAAUCAUUAGGGAAAUACAAAUCAAACCCACAAUUAGGUAUCACCUCACACCUGUUAAAAUGGCUAUUAUGAAAAAGACAAAAGAACAUGUUAGUGAGGAUGUGGAUCUAAUGUACAGCAAUGUGAAUGUAGUUAACAAUAGUAUAUUAAAGACUUGAAAUGUGCUAAGUUGGUAGAUACAACAACAAAAAAUACUCUAGAAAAAAUCAAACACAAGAAACCGCAGUUAAUGAACUAAUUGAAGGAGGAGAGAGAUGUAGGGCAUAUGGAAAACAAAUAGCAAAAUGUCAGAAGUUAUUCUUUAUAGGCCAGGCGCAGUGGUUCACGCCUGUAAUCCGAGCACUUUGGAGGCUGAGGCAGGUGGAUCACUUGAGGUCAGGAGUUCGAGACCACCCUGGCCAAUA
rnacentral:lncRNA from 1 species